ACCUGUGCACCGUCACGGCAACAACUGACUUUCUCCCUCCCUCCAGCGAAGAGUGGGUACACCUCUGCCUCUUGCCAUCCGCGUCUCUCCAGCUGCCUUCUCGCUACGCGUCUUGCCCUAGAUCUCUCGGUGCGGCAGCCGUCAGCGCUGCACUGACAGCACUCGUUCGUCUUUUCCGCCGGCGCUUCGCUUCGCGUCACGGCGCACCGGCUCUGCCGCCUCCUUUGCUCUCUCAACUCUUUUCUACUUGCCUCAUUUCCCACCCUCCCCAUCGUCCCUGCUGGCAUCGACAACGCCACAUGGAGAACAAGGCACCAGGGACGGCGCCGCGGCCGGAGGGGUACGCCUCCGCGGCCAACGCGCAGGGGCAUGAGAACUUCUUCCGCCCAAGGCAAAAACUAGGGACGCAUAACAUCCAGCGGGCAGGCCUGCGUUCUGCCAGGCGCGUUGGCUUGUGGUUCACGUCGAGCGUACUCGUGUUCGUUGUGAUGCCGGCCUAUCUAGGGCCCGCGUACGUCAAGUACGUGGCUGGCAGCGAGUGGCUGGAGCGGGCGUCGAAGUCGAUCUGGCAGCGGCGCAACGAGAAGGACUUCGAACUGUACAUGACGCAGCGCAAGAAUACGUGGGCGGAAUGGCUUGGCCUGAAGCGAUACAACAUCAGCGGGGAAGAGAACGACGGUGACAUCCAGAAGUACCGAUGAGGCUGUUGCUGACGCUCUCCGUGUGUCCGCGUCGGGAUGCGCAGGUUAAGGAAUGCCAAUGCGUUUUCGCGCUUGUUUGGGCUUCAUUUUUCCUUUUUGGUGUGGGAGGGGUAUGCGUGGACUGUGGCCUGCCUCGCCCCGUAUCGUGGCGUUGUGCGCUCCUCCUCUCUCCCUUCUCUUUCCUCUCACAGAGAGUUGCUGUUGUUGUUGUUGUUGUUGUGUGUGUGUGCGUGAUGGCUGCCCGCGUAGCUGGGCAUUUUUGUAGUGCUUGGUCCCUCUUCAUCCAUCUCCUUUGUGAGGAGGAGGAGUUCACGAAUGAGGCGACGAAGUGCGGCGCUGUUUUCUUCCUUCCGCCAACGUGUCCGUUUCGCUGCUGUGCAACGCGAGGUCAACGCUGCACCCCCCGGGUCUGCCACAGGGCCCCUCCCACUCGCAUCGCGCGGUGCGGAGCAGCCGUAGACACGCGCGCCACAGCAACGCGCCGGCCCGGUCAUCUCAGCACGGCCCCCGCCUCAAAGGCAACGCACCCGCCCGCAUCCCAGGUCGCCUCGCAGCCGCCCCAGCCAUGCUGGUUGCCACGUGGUGCAUAUCCCUCGCGGGGCGCCUGAGCCGCCCCGCACCACUAAGCAGCGAGGGCCGGGUGGGAUACGUCCCAGCCACGUCGGCACACUCUGCCCAUCAUAUGGAUGGCGCACGCGUGUGCAGUGCUGCAGGUCGCUCCGGUGCAACGCCGUCCACCGUCGGACCGCCGACGUGAGUGGCGCUGAGUCUCUCCGACUCCCCAACGUCGCAGGCGCUUGGCCCUCUCACCACGAGAAGGGGCUGUGCAUUGGCCGGGAUAGGGGAGGGGAGGGGCUGCCCGGCUUCGCCACGCACCGAGUGGGGAGAGGGGGUGGGUGCACAGAGCCCUGAGAGACGACUCGCUGAGGUGUCCCAAGUCAUGAAGGAAUGAGCGCGAGCGCAUUUGUGUAACUCUCUCUAUCUCCUACUCACACGUUUUCUGGCCGCCUUCUUUCACCCGUUCCUUUUCCGCCCUGUGCAG
rnacentral:misc_RNA from 1 species